UACUUGGGUGUUGCAGAACCAGAGAAACUUGCUGUUUUCUGCAGAAACCUUUCUCUGGAGUUUAAGCAUGCGGCUCCUUCUUAGAGCCUGGUGGAGAUGACGGCAGAGGAGCCGGUGAGCCUGAUGGAGGAGAGGCAAGGAGGGCUCCCAUCAGGAUGCUGAGCCCCACAGCCUGACUGACAUGGGCCGAAGACUUGCGAGCAUCUCAGCUGGGGAGGUGACUGCUUGCUGGCAGGUUUGCAUUCAGACAAGCUGCCUUUCUUCCUGGAGAUGCACUUGCAUCCCAGCUGGCCGUUAGAGAUGUCAAAAUGCAUUAGCUUCACUUAGGUGAGGCUACAAGAGCCCUCCCAGGAGCCAGGCUGCCAGCACAGGAGCGAGCUGGCUUGCACCCUGACCCUCAACACCACAACAGGGAGGCAAAAGCUUCCCCCGCGCAGUCGCUGCAGUUCUCGCGAUGAUCUCUGCCUUCGCCAGCAGAAAAAAGCUGGAGAACGUCCACCCUGCAGGAUCAUAGUGAGGUUUGGCAGCAAACUGCAAAGCAGCUCCCAGCACCUCGAGGAAAGCCAGGAGAGAGGGGGCUCCUUCCUGCAGCUCAAAAAGAGGUGCCAGGGGUUUGCUUGCAGCCUCCUGGGGAGCCAGUGUGGAGAUGGGGCUCAGCUCCAAAAUCAGUCAGGAGCACUUGGUAACUGCCCAGCUAGAGCCAAACCCACUUCCCCGUGCUUCAGCCCAGCUCGGCACCACCUCGCCGCCUCCGAGGACAGCUUUGGCAGCAGCUCCCCAGGCAAGGUGCCCCCCUGCAUGCCGCAGACCUACGGCAUCUUCGGGCGUCCCUGGGCACCCCGCAGCCCCCCAGCGCAGCCCCGCUGCCGGCAGAGGGCAGCGGCAGCCCAGGAAUUGCCGGCAGGAUCCGCUCCCCGUCCCUCCGCACCCUAUUUCAGUGGUUUUCCUCCGCUGCGCGAGGAAAUGCACGGGUUUAAUAAGUAAU